GGACCCGCACAAGCGGUGGAGCAUGUGGUUUAAUUCGAUGCAACGCGAACAACCUUACCAGAAUUUGACAUAUCUCGCAUUUCCUUGAAGGAGGAAAGUUCAAACGAGAAUACAGGUGGUGCAUGGCUGUCGUCAGCUCGUGCCGCGAGGUGUUGGGUUAAGUCCCGCAACGAGCGCAACCCUUGUCUUUUGUUGCUAACUUUAUGUUAAACUAAAGAGACUGCCGGUGAUAAACCGGAGGAAGGUAAGGAUGACGUCAAGUCAGCAUGCCCCUUACAUUCUGGGCUACACACGUGCUACAAUGGCUAGGACAAAGAGAUGCGACCCUGCGAAGGCAAGCUAACCUCAAAAACCUAGUCUUAGUUCGGAUUGCAGGCUGCAACUCGCCUGCAUGAAGGUGGAAUCGCUAGUAAUCGC
rnacentral:rRNA from 1 species